AUAAAAUUCACACAUAAUCUUGCAACUAGGAGAUAAUUACUUUUGGGGGUAUAUCCUUGUAGUCAUUUUAUGUGCAAAUUUGGAAUUGCACUGGAAAUAUUGUUUUCACUCAAAAUAUUUAAUACGCAUAUUUCUGCAUCAUUAAAUGCACUUUUAAACCUGACUUUUAAUGACUACCUGGGAUUAAACACCUAUUCUAAAACCUGUUUAAUUGUCAUAUGGUAUGAAAUUCACACUGUUUGGUGGCUUAAAGACUGAGUUUGCUGGUCAAAUAAGGGACAAGGCAGGGAAGAAAUCUUAAACCAGUUACCUCUUUGUCUGUCUCCAGGGUGGGCAGGAGCUGAGAGCCGAUUGUUAAGUUUUCAGGAAUUUUGUGAGCUGGUUGUUAAGCCAUUGGUAGCUUCACAUUGGCCAUGGUCAGGAGUAUUUACGCCAGAGCAAUCAGCAAGUGCUGAAAAAUUAGGACGGUUCCCCCCAGAGAGCUGGUUUCCCAGCACAUUACUGUAGACUCUGAAUCUCCCUCCAUAGUGUUUGACUUAAAGGUUAAAAGAGAGAAAAUUCUUUCUCUUUUCAACACCCAAAAGACCAAGUCCUAGCAUCUUUUCGUUUAAUCUAAAAUUAAAUGCCGUAUCUUAAGACGAGCAAUUAAAGCCACAUUCUAAGGCCGCAUUCAUCUCUCCUGGAGAAAAAGCAAAAUAUCUGCAAGCAAAUGACUUAAGAUUUAAAAAAGGAAUCAAUGUUGGAUACAACUUUUUUGUUCUUCCUGAAUAAGAUAAAUAACUGGCAGUUGUGUGCCUGUGAACGAGCAGAGAAAGUUCAUUCGCGAUCACUUUUGAACUGAGGAAAGGUAAUGUAUUCUUUGAUCUAACAGACGUGUUCUGGGUACUGAUCGUUAAUCUUGUUUAAUGAGGGCUGAGUCCUGUUCGUAGAGUUCUGUGAUCUAGGCAGCUGAUCACGAUGGUGCCAGCGCAGUCAAGGCCAAGCUCUCUCAUCGUAGUCUCCGAGUGUUUACGCUUGUCUAGUUGUGACAGUAAACUAGAAGGCAGAGAGCGCGGAGGGAGGGGCUCUGAGGAAGGGAGGUGCUGCGGUCGGUUUUCUUGGCCCCAGUGUGAUUUCAAAUAGAACUGGCCUCAUUUCAUUCAUCAGCCCCUGUUGACCUCUGCUAGCUUGACCAAUUAUCUCUGUAACUUUUUUCUCCUCACCAAUUGGCACCGUGGUUUCUAGAUAUCCUCUGUCUACCUCUGAGGCAGGGAGAUGGCCACCGUACCCCUCAAGGGCACGUUCAACCUCAUAGCUCUCGGCAGUGAAAGGAAGCGAGAAAUGAUUCGAAGGAGGGAAAUGAGAAUCCACGAGCCGACUCUGCAGACUUGAGGCAAUGGACUAAUUUGGUCCUUUUCGUGACGUGACAGCCUUCACAUCCCUCUCCAUUAACCACCGUCUGCUGUUAGCAGGAGCUGCGGGCUGGUGAUUUUGGAGGCUUCCUGAGAAUCACAGAAAUUUUGAAAAUAUUGGAUGUGUGUUUGAUAACAUUUUCCAAACCAAAUAUAAGAGCGUAUAACCAUUUUGAAGAGAAAUGUGAAGUUUUCAAAAAGUUUUCCUUGAGGGGGACAGAGAGCUGUUUUGACUGUUGUGGCUGCUACCCCAGGGACGACUUUUCUGUUCUCAGAUGGCGUUUAACCAUCAUUUACUAUGUGCCGAGCACCAUGCUUGGAGCUCCACAUACGUCAUCUCACCCCAUGCUCACGGAAGCCUCUGACACAGGGCUCAUGACUCCCGUUUUGUAGGUGCAGACACUGAGACUCAGAGAAGGUAAACGGUCUGAAGUCCACCUCGGCGCAUGAACUCACCCAGUGCUUUCCUCCGCGUUGCUGCCUUGUCGCUCUGCUCGGAGCUGGGGUUGUGUUGUCUCUUGUUCUUAGCAGUAAAAUAUGCAAAGGGAAAUCGGAUCAGUCAUUAUAAUCUUAGCACUCUUAGUAUCUAGAAGGGGUUAGAGAUCAUGACCUUCCCCUUUUCUUUCUGUACGAUGAAGCUGAUGGAGCCUAUUGGGUGUGAGUUCUCUCCACUCCCCUUCUCCCAACCUUGAGAUUCUCUGCUGCCUCAUCUCCCAGCCUUUCCCCUCUGCCCAGAGGCGCUGGCUGGCCUCUGUUUCAAGCUCUCACCUCUGCUGCAUCUUGGAUCUCCCCUCCACUACCUCCUUUGCGACAUUUAUCUUACUUUCUUGUGCUUAUCACAUGGGACGUUAUACUUGACAUUUGUUUGUUAGUUUAUUGUCUGUCUCCACUGGAUUAUCGUCUCUGUGCAGUUGGGAGAUUUUAUCCUUCUUAUGGCCUGUGCUAAAGGGAGUGCAGCCGCAUAGGAUGUGCUCAUUUAAUAUUCAAUGGACUGAAUGAAUACUGCCGCCUCACAUGUCUAUUUUCUCACCUCUCCAGCCAUUGUCCGCUUUAUGGAUUCUUUUUCUUUUUUUUGCUGAGGAAGAUUUGCCCUGAGCUAACAUCUGUUGCCAAUCUUCCUCUUUUUGUAUGUGAGCCACCGUCACAGCAUGGCCACUGAGAGACAAGUGGUGUAGGUCUGCGCCUGGGAACUGAACCCAGGCUGCUGAAGUGGAGUGUGCUGAACUUAACCAGUAGGCCACUGGGGCCAGCCCCACCCAAUGGAUUCUUUAAUCUCACCCUACAAGCAAGCUCAGGUCUCUUCUUGGUGACACAUCCUUUCCUGGCCCAGCUACCUUGCUAAACUGCCAUCCCACUUAGAACCAACUCGUGCCUACCCACUCAUGACUUCAGAUCUCUCCUUUUCGUUGUCCACUCUGGGCAUUUUACUGAAACUGCUCCUUGCAGGCCACCGAUGAGCUCCUACCAAGUGUUACCAUCUGUCUGAAAUCCCUGACACUUCCAACGAUUUAAAAUCAUCCUCCUUUUUAAAAUUCUCUUCUCAGUUGUCCAUGUUUCUCAGUGAUGCAUGAUGAAAUACACAGCGGCAAAAUACCAUGAGGCUUGGGAUUUGCUGUGAAAUAUUUCAGGGAAGUAACCACAUGGCAAGAAGGAUUGCAUGGCCAGCAUCCUUGAUCAUUGCUGAUCCUCAUUGAAUGGGCACAGGUCUUCAUUAUGUAUAUCUCUACUUUUGUGUACAUUUGGAAAUUUUUAUCAAACCAAAAACAAAUGCCCCCUCAUGCUCUGUCUUCAGUGGCAUCUGACCCACCCUCUUGCCCAACACCUCCCUUGCUGCCCUUUCUGGUCGCGCUCCUUUCUCCUGCAUCCCUUGGUUCUGCCCUGGCCGUUGUCUCCCUCCAUAGUCUCUCUUGGAUACCCCCACCUGCCAUGGCAUUGAUGACCAUCCCUGAGUCUCUAAUUCCCACAGACCUGAACUGCUUCCCCCGGGCCCAGCUGCUGAAUCCCCAUGACCUGCAGAGACCACCCCAAUGCCCUCCAAGUGCAUGGAGCACAUGUGCUCCAACCAGAGCUCUUGUUUGCCCUCAAGGCCCUGCAUAGCCCUGCCCACUUCCUGUGCUUCCUGAGUUCUCAGUGACCUUGUCUUCCUUCUGGUGCCCUGGGUCCGAUACCCUAGAGUCACCAUGCCUGCCCCGCCUCCAAUGGAUGGCCAGUUCCCCUCUUCUUUCCCAAAGCCGCUUACUCCCCUCCCGCCCAUUUCUCCCAUUGGCUUCAUUAUCUCUUGCCUGAAUUGUUGUUUAGUUUGUCUUCAUGCUUUAAUUCCCUACCCCUGAUCCCAGGAACGCACCACUGUCAAAUGAAUCUUCCCACGUUCAGCCUCACCCCAAGCAUGCAGAAUGCACUUCUCUUAAUUCCAGACUCCAGGCUCUCAAUCUGGCCCCAUGUGGCCUCCCAACGCCAUCUCUCACUUUUCCUGUCUGGCACUCAGAGCUUUUACCAACGAGAACGCUCUCUGUGUCUCACACCUGCCCUUUUUCUAUGGAUACAGUUCUUACUUGUCCUUCAAGCUCCUGCCGGAAGGCCGCUUCCUCUGGGAAGCCCUUGCUGAUUUCUCAGUCAGCAGUAAUUCAUCCCACUUCGUCGUUCCUAAAUCAUUUCGGGAUGUUCUUGCCUCAUUUGGUUUUGUAAUGGAGUUUUGUGGGAACUUUUCCUGCAAGACUAGGAUGUUUUUUUCCCAGAGGCCCAACAUGUUGUGGAACCUUGUGUGUUGGAAGCAAUUAACACUCGUUAAAUGAGACAAUUUCCCCCCCCUCCCCCGUCUGCUUUGUGCAGUUACGAUGGUAAAUGGAAAAAUCUGAAAAUAAUCUCAGCUGAGAAACACUUUUAUGCUGAGAAUUGCUUUUAAUAUUUCAGAAUUGGCAUAUAAGACUAAAAAGAACCUACUCCAAAAUGUAGUGUUGGUGUGGGUUUAGAAUUCAGUGUUAACCAUGUAAAUAGGAAUUCAAGGGGAAUUUACCAAAUUGACCUCAUUUACAUGUGUAAUUAUCCACCUGUGAUCAUUCUACUGUCUUAUCUAUUCCGUCUUUCUCCUCCCACAUCAAGUUAAAAAUACUUUGUAUCAAGCAUUUUUUUCCUAACCAAAUACAAUGAAUUCUUGGAAUUGGGGUGUGCAUUUGUGUGUGUGUGUGUGUGUGUGUGUGUGUGUGUGUAAAUGCAGCUCUGCCACUUGAAACAAGAUGUGGAAGUACAAUGAAAUUACAACGUACUGUUGGUGUGGGUGAGAGGCUUAGAAGAUAGACAUCGUGAGUCAUGUUCAAGUGUGCACUUCACUAGGGGAGAUUUGGAGGUAAACGGCUUGGGGACAUCCCGCUGCUUUCAGUGAUCAGCAAAGCCAGGAAAGAAAACCAUGAGUUCUGCUCACCUGGAACUCCACAGGGCACAGUCCAUGGCAACUGGGAAUAGCUGCUUCCUCUGCUCAGAAGAUCUCUGAUAGGACAGGAAGGUGUCAGGGAGCUGGGCGCUGCCUUCUCAGGACACCCUCCUGGUGGGAAAAGGAUAAGCUCAGAGCUGGGGUAGAGGCCCUCGAGCUCGAAGCAAAAGAAAAGUGGUUACCCAGGUCCCUCAGUGUUUGGGUGUGCGAAGGAAUUGUGAGCCCUGGGGAUGCUUCCAGGGGCCUGUGGUCCCUGGAGCGAAGGGAUCUGAUGCAGCAGCCCUGGCCCCUCCAAGGGCAGGGGCCUCCCCUUGAGCCCCUGGCGACUCACAGGGUGGGCAUCGCCGCCGGGGAGCUCCUUAGAAAUGCAGACAGUCAGGCCACGCCCCCGCCUGCUGUGAAGCAGAACCCAAGUUCAGCAGGACCCCUGGUGGUCCCCAUGCACGUUCAAAUCUGAGAGGCACUGGUUUAGAAGACUGUGAAUAAAACACCCCUUUCGUGUGCUCAUUUGUUUUGUCACGAUUGUUCAUUUCUCUGAAUGCCGUAGUAGUUCUUUACGGUGCCUCCUUUUGACACCUGUAAAGUAGGUUAGUUUUACUCUCCAGCUUUGAGUUGGAUUUUUUUCUUAACCAGACCACAAGGGGCCGCAUCUCACCACAUAAACAUUCAUCACAUCCAGCCUGUUCCCAGCCACAGAGGCCGACUGAGGAGCUACAGGAGCCCCCUUCUCACAGGUACGUGGCUCCCGCUCUUGCAACCAAGCUCCUUAAUUGAAAUAAUGGUCAAGGCCUCUCCCCACUGGCUCCCCACCAGAUCACCAACAGCUUAGGUCACUCAGUAUUCAAUCCUGGAACUGUCCACACCUACACUCCCACGGAGCAUUUUCCGCAAGAGAUUUACAUUUCACACUGGGAAGGUAAUUAUGUUUUCUCUUUCAGUCAUUUUCUUAUGUUUCCGUGACUCAGGCUCAUUACUAAGUCCCCUCCCGCAAUCCUUUCUGAGUCCUUGAUGCUGUUUGCCAGCUUUGUGGGAAAUUGCCGGGUGAGACGCGUCAGCCUUCCUGAAUAAGCGCAUUUCUGACCCCCUUGCUAAUCUGUCUGACAAGUUUCCCCAGGAAUCGUGGCCUGUAUUAACGCUAUUUAUUCCUUUGGAGAGAUUAAGGAGCACUAUUAUCUCUUAAUGGGAGGAGGCAUCAAAAGCAUUUUAUUCAGAUUGAAACACUUCCCAAAACCUUCAGAAUGUAGUCGAGGCGAAGAGGUGGUGCUGGGAGGUCAGACCAGACUGGGAAGCCCGGAGCCCGAGGUCUGGGUCCUGCUGUGUUUCUAACUAGCCGAGCAAUUCACGUCCUUUGCUUCCCAUCUCCCAGCCUCAGUUUCUCAUCUAUAUGGUGAGGAGGUUAGACUAGAAUGAUCUGUGAGUUUCCUCACUUAAUUGAUCUCGCAAAAGCAGUGUUUUAAUUAAGCAUUGAUUUGACAUGGAAAACUUGCUCGGUAGCUGACAGAGGGACGACACAGAGCAUCUGCCAUCUGAUGGACGUUGACAGCAGCGUUCUGCCUUUGGAGAACCAGGACCACAAAAGAGGCUUCGAAUGGAAAGCACCACCCACCUUUGCGGCUGCUGCCUAGUUAACAGUUGUAGGUGGCUGGCAGGUGGCACGUCUUGAAGGAAAACUGAUUUUUAGGAACCAGCAGACAAGCGUCAGGCAAUUUGGAAGUUGUGGUUCCUGAAUGGGUUCUUCCAGAGAGAAGCUACUAGAAGUGUUCCAGGUGAAUCAGACAAGCCUGCCUGCCUGCCUUCUGGAUUUUCACAAACUAAAGGCAGAGGGAGCACAGAACUUGCAGGAGGGCCUAGUGGGAGCAGAUACGAGCAUAUAGUAGAUGCUCCAUGGAUGAGCCAACAGCGUAGGAACAGAGAGGGGAGACUGCAGGUCUCCCGCCCACCCAUGGGAGAUCUUGGCACCGCCAGCCUGCCAGCAAUGCAGCUUGCAAGAAUUUCACGGGCACACAUAGGAUUUUUUUUUUACACAACUGAACUUUGAAGUCAACAUUCCACCAACAGGAGGAAACUGCCUCUCUUAUGCGGAGCUAAGAGAGAUCUUUUUCAGGAAACUAAUCCUCACAGUGUGAGGUUGGAAUGAUUAUUUAGACAUUUUGGGAAGAAGCAAACUGUGGCUUGAAGUGGGAAUCUCCUGGGGUCCUUAUUCCUCUACCCACAGCCCCUGAGACUCACCCCUCCUCCUCCACAGCAACAACCGGCAGAGAAAAGAAUACGUCUGACUUAAGAGGAGUCACUGGACAUGGUGCAUUCAUUAAGAUGCGGGAAGGACUUGGGACGCACUCACAGCUGAGGAAGGGAGCGGCAACAUGGGCCGAAAGAACAAGGCUGUCGUGGGGGCCAUAUUGGGGUUGACUGGGGAAAGGGUAAGGAGUAACGGAGGGAGUGGUGAUUAGGGGAAAAGCCAGUACUGCAGAGAUGGGAUUCUCUGGUCCUGCACCCUUUCCAGCUCGCUGGCAGCAAGGCAGGCUCGUGGGACAAGGUGUGAAUAAAGUAGUUGGAAGUAACAUAAAUUACUUCCAGGUUGAAGUAGAGAAGAGCCGGCGUCUUCCCCCACUGCCUCUUCCCCUGCUGCAGGGACAAGGAGGCCUCCCAUUACAGGCGGUGCCCUUGCAUCCCUGAGAGACUUCAUGGACGUUGGGAUGAGGGUGUGAAACAUAUGUGAGUUGUAUUAAGCCAUUGAGACCCGGGCGUGGUUGUUACUGCAGCAUAACCUAUCCUCUGCUGACUAAUCUAGCCAUGCAGAUUCCCACAACGGGGGUUGAAAGUCCCAGAACCUUGUGCUGUCUCUUACCUGUGGCUAGGCAUGGGCAAAGUGCCCGUGUGGCACAGGUGGGGAUCUACUCUGUCACAUCGGGAAAUGGCUUUCCUGCCUCAGGAAAAAGAGAGGAGUGAGAAGACACUGUCUUUUUCCCUUCUUCUUUUAAAAAAUUUUUUAAUUGAG
ensembl:lncRNA